AUUGAACGCUGGCGGCAGGCUUAACACAUGCAAGUCGAGCGGGGGAAGGUAGCUUGCUACCGGACCUAGCGGCGGACGGGUGAGUAAUGCUUAGGAAUCUGCCUAUUAGUGGGGGACAACAUCUCGAAAGGGAUGCUAAUACCGCAUACGUCAUACGGGAGAAAGCAGGGGAUCUGUGGACCUUGCGCUAAUAGAUGAGCCGAAGUCGGAUUAGCUAGUUGGUGGGGUAAAGGCCUACCAAGGCGACGAUCUGUAGCGGGUCUGAGAGGAUGGUCCGCCACACUGGGACGGGGACACGGCCCAGACUCCUACGGGAGGCAGCAGUGGGGAAUAUUGGACAAUGGGGGGAACCCUGAUCCAGCCAUGCCGCGUGUGUGAAGAAGGCCUUAUGGUUGUAAAGCACUUUAAGCGAGGAGGAGGCUACUUUAGUUAAUACCUAGAGAUAGUGGACGUUACUCGCAGAAUAAGCACCGGCUAACUCUGUGCCAGCAGCCGCCGUAA
rnacentral:rRNA from 1 species